ACACCUCAACUCUCAUGGCCUUGCCGUGAUGAGCUUGGACUCUGGGGGUCUUGCCGGCCUGUGGUCGGCUCCUCUCAAAUUGAUCAGCUUGCCAGCGUCUGGUGGCAUUGCAGGUGUGAUAACUAUCUACGCUUGUGGUUUUCCACCAGGUAACCUUCAGCGAUGGAGGUUCGCUGGAGCUCACAAAUGUCUCUCUUCGGUGAGGACAGCUUCUGAAU
rnacentral:misc_RNA from 1 species